rnacentral:rRNA from 1 species
UACGAAGGGGGCUAGCGUUACUCGGAUUGACUGGGCGUAAAGGGCGCGUAGGCGGUUUGUACAGUCAGACGUGAAAGUCCUGGGCUUAACCUGGGGACUGCAUUUGAUACUGAUUGGCUUGAAUGCAGGAGAGGAUAGCGGAAUUCCCAGUGUAGAGGUGAAAUUCGUAGAUAUUGGGAAGAACACCGGUGGCGAAGGCGGCUAUCUGGACUGUGAUUGACGCUGAGGCGCGAAAGCGUGGGGAGCAAACAGG